rnacentral:rRNA from 1 species
GACGAACGCUGGCGGCGUGCUUAACACAUGCAAGUCGAACGGACAGACAGAGAGCUUGCUCUCUUGAAGUUAGUGGCGAACGGGUGAGUAACGCGUAAUCAACCUGCCCUUCAGAGGGGGAUAACAACGGGAAACCGUUGCUAAUACCGCGUACGAUUCAUGAACGGCAUCGUUUAUGAAUGAAAGGUGGCCUCUAUGUAUAAGCUAUCGCUGAAGGAGGGGAAUGCGGCUGAUUAGCUAGUUGGAGGGGUAACGGCCCACCAAGGCAAUGAUCAGUAGCCGGUCUGAGAGGAUGAACGGCCACAUUGGGACUGAGACACGGCCCAAACUCCUACGGGAGGCAGCAGUGGGGAAUCUUCCGCAAUGGACGAAAGUCUGACGGAGCAACGCCGCGUGAGUGAUGAAGGUCUUCGGAUUGUAAAGCUCUGUUAAUCGGGACGAAAGAGUUCUGCGUGAAUAAUGCAGAAAAGUGACGGUACCGGAAUAGAAAGCCACGGCUAACUACGUGCCAGCCGCCGCGGUAA